GCGCACCAGUCGAGAAUACUCCACAAUGCGCGAAAGCGCGAUGGGGCUAUCCCGAGUGCCGUCCGCUGAGGAUGGCUUUUCUCCAGUGUAAGGAGCUGGAGGAAUAAGGAGAGGGCAAGUCUGGUGUCAGCCGCCGCGGUAAUACCAGCUCUCCGAGUGGUAGGGACGUUUAUUGGGCUUAAAGCGUCCGUAGCCGGCUCAGCAAGUCCUCCGUUAAAUCCAGCGAUUCAAUCGUUGGACUGCGGGGGAUACUGCUGGGCUAGGGGACGGGAGAGGCCGACGGUAUUCCCGGAGUAGGGGUGAAAUCCUAUAAUUCCGGGAGGACCACCAGUGGCGAAGGCUGUCGGCUAGAACGAGCUCGACGGUGAGGGACGAAAGCUGGGGAGCGAACCGGAUUAGAUACCCGUGUAGU
rnacentral:rRNA from 1 species